UACAGAGGUCCCAAGCGUUGUUCGGAUUCACUGGGCGUAAAGGGUGCGUAGGCGGUCGGGUAAGUCUGAUGUGAAAUCUCACAGCUUAACUGUGAAACUGCAUUGGAUACUAUCCGGCUCGAGGAAUGGAGGGGAGACUGGAAUACUUGGUGUAGCAGUGAAAUGCGUAGAUAUCAAGUGGAACACCAGUGGCGAAGGCGGGUCUCUGGGCCGAUACUGACGCUGAGGAGCGAAAGCAUGGGUAGCGAACAGG
rnacentral:rRNA from 1 species